UGAAGAAGACUUAGUUCAAGCUUUUCCAUUCUAGCAUCUUACUUGUGUGAUCACAUACUUGUAAAAAUAAUUUAAUACAGAUAUCAUUUAGAAUGGAAAUUAUUGUUAAUAUUAGUGUUAAUAAUUCACUUCCACAUGGCACUGAUCCAAAACAUUAUUCUUCUUAUGGAAAUAUUCAUCCUCCAAUGGAGGAUGAUGGUAAUCACUGAUGAGGAGGCCAAGACUGUGAAUACUGGGACAUGUUGAAUUCAUUGCUCUCUGAAGGAAACUUCCUGCCAUACUUACUCUGCUAGAAAACCUGAGUCAAUCUCCUAUUUCAUCCAAUUGGCAACAUUUCUGGCUAGCAUUCCAGAGCCCUUCUUUUCCCAGUGAAAAUUGCAAAAUAAAAUGUUAGCUGAAGACUUUCCCAGCUUUCUGCCUUCCUUCUAUCUCUCCAUGCGUUCUCUGUCCCUGCACACUUGCCACUUCAGUCAGUGCUAGAUGUGUGACAGGGAGAAUUUAUACUAAGUUGCUUGCUUGAUUCAGACAGGCCCAUGUGUCUCUUGCUCUGAAUGGCCUCCAGGAAGCUUUGUCUGUCCUUCCUGAACAGCCAAGAAUGUCACGGUCACAUCGACUUACAACAAAUUAAUCCAAGUGGAUGCUGGUAAGACAAAAAGGUUAUCAUCUUGACAAACGACCCCUUUCCCUUAGGUACCAUCCCAUGCAUCCUUACCCGUCUGUUAGCAGAUCAGAGUUUUAGCACAUUGUCCACACAGAUGGGUGAAUGCAGUCGUGGCUACAUUCCCUUGGCCAGGGCUUCUGAGCCAGAAGUGUGUCAGACUCAUCUCUGGAGAAUGCUGCGAGGAAUGAUGAUAUAUACCCCAUCUCACUCCUCUGCUGAAACCAUUUCCAAGUUGGCAAUUGCAUGAGCAGAUGAUAUUCUUUGUUUUUAAGUGAGAAAUCAUUUGGGACCAUCCUAGAGUACUCUCUCCAGGAAUGAAGUUGGAAAAGAGAGAGCUUUCCAAUUCUGAAUUCAGUCGUCUAAACCAUUUGGACUGGAGUGUCAUCCUAACCUUGGCUUGCAAUCGCUCUGCUCUCCUCUCCAGAAUUUCCUCCAUUUAUGAUUUUUCAAGCCACCUGUUUGCAUCGUUCAUGUGUUCCUAUGGCCUCCUCAUCCUGAGUAGCUGGAACUGCAGGAAUGUGGCAGUAUCUCUAGCAAAGAUGGACACAUUUAGUACUUGGGCUUAUCACAUCGACCAAACAAAAGGUUCUUUUCUUACUGAUGAAGUUUUGUUAAACCUUCCACCUUCAUUAUGAAGUUCCUUGAUUUUUAAGUCAUCUGCAGUAGUUCAAGAGGGGCAAAAACCCCCUAAAAGCCCCUGGUGCUUGUAUGAAGCGUGGAAAGCAGUCAAAACUCAGAAGCAGAGAGAGUGGAAUGAAGGUGGCUAGUGGCAAAAGUACAAGCUUCAACAACAGAAAAAAAAGAAGAGAUACUCGCACACAGGUUUAAACCAAAUCAGUUAUAAGUGCAGAAAAAGAGUAAACAUACCCAACUCACCUUCUUGGAAAACCAAUAGGAUCACAUGAGAGUAAAGCAUAGCACUUCUGAAAAGGCAAAUAUUAACUCUCCCAUUGACCUGAGAUAAGAAGUUGUGUUUGUUAUUUAGGGUACGAUUUUUCUCCCCCAAUAUCAAAAGUAUUUAUUUUUCCUAUGGCUUAUAGGAAGAGAAAACAAAGGGAACUUUUCUUCACCUGUCUAUAGUAUUUCACCUUUUCCAGCACACACACUGGCUGUUGGGAGAGCAGAGAGAAGGAUGGGGACAAGGACAGGAGAAAACAGUUUGUUGCAUCUAAGCAGGGAGCCAGAAAUUGUCUUUCCAUGAAUCAUUCACCCCUUUUCAAAAUUUAAGACUGUGUAAUCUAAUGUAUUCCUCUUAGGAAAAUUUGCUCUAUGUCAGGUAACAAAUAUGACAUUUCAAUAAUGUAAUUGGAGAGGGUUUUUUUGUUACCUGUUUAUUAAUUUUUUGUUUACAUUUUAGGUUUUCCAAAAUGAUACCUUCUACCUGUAUUCUCAGCCAUUUAUUCUUCCUUUUUGUCUCUUCCAUGAAGACACUUAAUUUAUUCAUUUUAAGCGAUCUGUGAAUGUCAGUUCAAUGAACCUCUUCUUGUUUCUCUAAUCAUAUUCCCAGAUCUGAAGAAAUUAGAGCUUUCUACUACAGCAUGCCCUCACUACAAAGUUCACUUUCAUCGAGUCUGACCAUCGAAAAUAUCUGUGGGAUUUGCAAUUUCUUUAUUCACAUUAAAUGGCAGUUGAAUAACCUUUGUGGUUUAUCACACCCUCAAGCGUGCUUAGAGUUGGAACAACAACAUAUAAGCAAUUAAAAUUCUUAUUUUGCUGAAUUAGAAAAUCUAAUCUCUUAUCUUCUGUUGUGUGAUUUAUUAGUAUGUCUCAAACUUACAGUUCUAGGGCAUUGAAGUAAUCAAAUAUAGUCUCCAAAAGUUAACAAAUGUGUUUUAUUAAGAGUAGUCUUCAUUAUUGAACAGCUCUUGUUCCUGUAUUUUGGUUUAGGGGAUAGCCUGAAGGGAGAUAUAAUGAUUAUGAGACUCAAAAACAGAAAUAUUGCUUAAAAAAUCUGAAAUAGCAUUAGCACAUGGCAUUAACAAAUGGUGCUUGUAAAAUGACAUCAGAAAAUAUUAGGCCAAAGUAAAGACCCCAUAAGUGAAGAUUAUUUUAAGCAGAAAAUAUGCAACGAUGCGUUUUCUUAAACCAGCUCACCAAUCCAUUUUGUUUUGCAUAACUUGAUAUGAAUUAUAAAGCGUGACACUACAGGUUUUGAACCCAGGGCCUCUCUUUGUAAACACUCUGGAACUCUAGUUCCCUAAUCCUGGCAAUACACGUCUACACCAGAGGAAUUUGGUCCUGGUGCUAGUCGCUCACAUGUGUAAUCCUAGUUACUCAGGAAGCUGAGAUCUGAAAGUUGAAUGGUUUUGAGCCAGCUCAGGCAGACGUAUGCAAGACUUUUAUUUCCAAAUAACCUGCCACAGCUGAG